UCCGAAGUAGUAUAGUGGUUAAGUAUUUCCGCCUGUCACGCGGACGACCGGGGUUCGAUUCCCCGCUUCGGAG
rfam:Blastocystis sp. NandII AV274scaffold_95, whole genome shotgun sequence.